CCAUGCACUGGUCAGUAAAUGGCCAAACACAUUGCCUGGGAAGAGAGAGAGUCAUUGCACCUGGGGGGAGCUGUGGCUCUGGGACUGCCCGUGCCCUGAGAAGCAGAAAGGCUGAGAGGUUUGGGUGAUAAACAGCUGCUGUGUUUUAGUGCUCAGUGAUGGCAUUCUGUGAUGGGUAAGAUGAUUCAUGGCUUGGGUUCUUUCGGGCUGAAAGGUGGAGGAGGUGGCGCAUCCACUGCAUGUUUCUGUAGUGCCUGUGAUGCCAGCACAAUGGUGGUCUUCAGACUUGUCUGCAAAGUCCUGAUAUAAAAGAGUUGGCAGCCCAAGAUGAAAAUCUGUCAUCUUUCUUGUGAGGAGCAGCCCUGCUUUCAGCAGCAGUCUUGCUGAAGUAGUUGGAUGUUAUUUCAGAGAAAAAAAACACACUAUUUGUCAUGAGCAUGGGUGGCAGAACUGGGGUCUGAGAGGUUCAGUGCUCUUCCUGCCUGGGUGGCUAUGUUGCUUUGUCACUAAUGUACUUGAGGACCUCAGAGAUGAUGAUAUUGUCCUCACAGGCAGAUGUCUUGGGAAGGAGAUACAUCUAAUUAACAUUUCUUGAUGAAAGGCCUGAUUCAAGAAAGCAUCUCUAUUGAGUGCAGCACUUUGCUUAAAUCUUAUUUAUUUCAGUAAGAUUUAAACCCAAGUAAACCCUUUCCAGAUCUUGGGCAUGCCUUUGCUUCUCCCCUUCCUGCUGCCUCUGGUGUCCUGUGACAAGUGUGGCAAGAACCGAGGAAAAAAGCUUGGCUGUGUUAAAGAAACGGUUAUUUUGUUGAUAUGCUUAUUGCAGUCAGGGCCACAACAGCUACCAACCUAUUAGCAGUGUAACUUCCGUUCUUCCUCUUAAGAUGCCCCAUCCCAGUGUAUCCUUCCUACCUUCCGUUCUCUUGCAGAGGAGCCCUGUGCUUCUUCCUUUCCCGUGGCCUUUUCCCUGACUACCCCUAACACCCAUGUUAUUUAUCUCUAUUCUUCCCAUAU